CCUACGGGUGGCAGCAGUGAGGAAUAUUGGUCAAUGGACGAGAGUCUGAACCAGCCACGUAGCGUGAAGGAUGACUGCCCUCUGGGUUGUAAACUUCUUUUAUAUGGGAAUAAAAUGUUCCACGUGUGGGAUUUUGUAUGUACCAUAUGAAUAAGGCACGGCUCACUCCGUGCCAGCAGCCGCGGUAAUACGGAGGAUUCGAGCGUUAUCCGGAUUUAUUGGGUUUAAAGGGAGUGUAGGUGGAUUGUUAAGUCAGUUGUGAAAGUUGGCGGCUCAAACGUAAAAUUGAAGUUGAAACUGGCAGUCGUGAGUACAGUAGAGGUGGGCGGAAUUCGUGGUGUAGCGGUGAAAUGCUUAGAUAUCACGAAGAACACCGAUUGCGAAGGCAGUUCACUGGACUGCAACUGACACUGAGGCUCGAAAGUGUGGGUAUCAAACAGGAUUAGAUACCCCAGUAGUC
rnacentral:rRNA from 1 species